rnacentral:lncRNA from 1 species
CCAAUACUGAAAAUAAUGCACGUUUUGGGGAUAAAACUUGGCCCUAUCGCAGUCAAUUACGCUAGUAAUCGCGACAACACGCGUGUGCGCUCAGCCAAUCGUUUGAGCGGAGAAUCUUUGAUAGAGGCCAGGACACAACGAAAAAAGACUAGAGUGGAAGAAAAUGAGUAUUUUGAAGAAGCAGAAGGCAUACUGUAUGGUGCAGGCAUCGCAGAAUAAGAUCACCCGUUCUCAAAUUUCGAUGCCCGCCAACAGCAUACCUACUUUUGAAGGGUUCACGUUUGUCAGCCAUUUUGAAUGUCAAAAAAUGUUAAAAACAAU